GACGUAGGGCGCGAGCGUUGUCCGGAUUUAUUGGGCGUAAAGAGCUCGUAGGCGGCUUGUUGCGUCAGCUGUGAAAACCCGCAGCUCAACUGUGGGCUUGCAGCUGAUACGGGCAGGCUUGAGUUCGGUAGGGGAGACUGGAAUUCCUGGUGUAGCGGUGAAAUGCGCAGAUAUCUGGAGGAACACCGGUGGCGAAGGCGGCAUCCUGGACCGACACUGACGCUGAGGAGCGAAAGCCAGGGGAGCAAACGGG
rnacentral:rRNA from 1 species